rnacentral:rRNA from 1 species
UGGGGGAUAUUGCACAAUGGGCGAAAGCCUGAUGCAGCGACGCCGCGUGGGGGAUGAAGGCUUUCGGGUUGUAAACCUCUUUCGCUAUCGAACAAGGCCCGCCUAGGGUGGGUUGAGGGUAGGUGGAGAAGAAGCGCCGGCUAACUACGUGCCAGCAGCCGCGGUAAUUCGUAGGGCGCGAGCGUUGUCCGGAAUUAUUGGGCGUAAAGGGCUUGUAGGCGGCGUGUUGCGCCUGCUGUGAAAACGCGGGGCUUAACUUCGCGCGUGCAGUGGGUAAGGGCAGGCGUGAGUGUGGUAGGGGUGACUGGAAUUCCAGGUGUAGCGGUGGAAUGCGCAGAUAUCUGGAGGAACACCGAUGGCGAAGGAAGGUCACUGGGGCAUUACUGACGCUGAGGAGCGAAAGCAUGGGUAGCGAACAGG